rnacentral:rRNA from 1 species
CCAAUAGCGUAUAUUAAAGUUGCUGCAGUUAAAAAGCUCGUAGUUGAAUUUCGGGACCAUCAUGUCGGUCGUGCCUCGGUACGUACUGGUAUCGUUGGUUUCUCCCUUCUGACGAACCAUGAUUUCAUUUAUUUGGUGUUGUGGGAAAUCAGGACUGUUACUUUGAAAAAAUUAGAGUGUUUAAAGCAGGCUCACGCUUGAAUACAUUAGCAUGGAAUAAUGAAAUCGGACGUUUAAUUCUAUUUUGUUGGUUUCUAGGAUUGACGUAAUGAUUAAUAGGGAUAGUUGGGGGCAUUAGUAUUCAAUUGUCAGAGGUGAAAUUCUUGGAUUUAUUGAAGACUAACUACUGCGAAAGCAUUUGCCAAGGAUGUUUUCAUUAAUCAAGAAUGAAAGUUAGGGGAUCGAAGACGAUCAGAUACCGUCGUAGUCUUAACCAUAAACUAUGCCAACUAGGGAUCGGAUGAUGUUAAUUUUUUAAUGACUCAUUCGGCGCCUUACG